UACGUAGGGGGCAAGCGUUGUCCGGAAUCAUUGGGCGUAAAGAGCGCGCAGGCGGUCGUUCAAGUCGCGUGUGAAAGCCCCCCGGCUCAACUGGGGAGGGUCACGCGAUACUGAUCGACUCGAAGGCAGGAGAGGGUAGUGGAAUUCCCGGUGUAGUGGUGAAAUGCGUAGAUAUCGGGAGGAACACCAGUGGCGAAGGCGACUACCUGGCCUGUUCUUGACGCUGAGGCGCGAAAGCUAGGGGAGCAAACGGGG
rnacentral:rRNA from 1 species